GGGACUACCAGUGUAGUGAGAGAUUUUUGCCUUGAAUGUUCUGAAUAAAGGCUUGCAGAAAAAUCUUGGAAGGGGGUUUAAUUUUGUAAUUUUUUUCUCAGUUGGACAUAAAAAGAGUGGUGACAGCAUCAGGACACUUUAGUGUGCAUAAAAUAGUAAUUAGUUUUAAAAUUAAGGCUUUAAAUAAGUACAAAUUAAAAAUAGUUUAAAUUUAGAAAAGCCAAUAUGGCAGACAAAAAUAGCAGAUACAGGGAAAGAUCACCUAGAACUUUCUAGGAACUCCUAGAACCCAAGAUGGUGUCAGGGAGGAGCAGUCACAUGUAGGUACACAUGAGUUAGAAAGCAGGUAGCUGAUUGGCUAAGAGAAUAUCACCCCACUGAAAGAGCAACCAAUCAGAGGCAGAGAAAAUAUGAUGCCCCUGAAAGGCGACCAAUAAGAGAUGAGCAGGGUAGGCUGGAAAGUGUAUAUAAGGGCAACAGCCAGUAAGCUGGCCUCCUAGUCAUUUGAGACCUUCAAGAAGAACAGAUGCUACAAGACUCUUAUCUGGGAAGAGGGUUCCUAAGCAGCUUUGGGUGGGGGUUGCUUUGGGGUUCUGAAGAGGCAGCAAGCAAAGCUAGCUAGAUUUUGGGUAGAGUCUUGUGAGGCUUUGGGUGGGGGUUGCUUUGGAGUUCAAGAAAGAUGCUGCCUGUGAGAAGCCUCAAGAAGCAACAGUUGCAGCAGCAGUAAGAGAACCCUGAGAUUGCCCUCACAACAGUUGCUGUAGCAACCAAGCCAGCAGCAGCUCUGUAACCGCCCUUGGAUGGCCACUGUCGUUCCUUCAGCUGCUUGCCAUAAUCAGUGUUGGCGGCGUGUACCAUCUGAGGGGAACAGCACUGAGACAGAGCAGACAGACCUUGAGGGUUCAAGAGAUACUAAGGGACUAAAAUGUGUUCUACGGUCAUCCAAGACAAGGGGAGCCUUCCAACGAUCAUAGUUUGUUUCCACCACAUACCAUGUGCCCCCGUUUGAAUCAAGGCUUGAAAAGAGAUAAGGGGAAACGGGAGCAGUGACCUUGAGCAAAUCACUUCAUCCAGCUGGACAGCAACAGAGCAAGGAACAGAAGCCAGCAAUAGCAAAGUUCCUAGUGGACUAUUAUCAAAGCUCAACCAAAAAGUAUUUACGCAGGACAAAAGCCAUUACUCCCAUAAGAUUCACAAUAAAAGUGGUUAGGAACAGACUUUACCGGAUUUGUCUUCUGCUACUAUUGAAGUGCAUACUGUAAAGAUUUCAUAGAAGAUAUUAAACAGAA